UGGGGAAUAUUGCACAAUGGGGGAAACCCUGAUGCAGCGACGCCGCGUGAACGUAGAAGGUAUUCGUAUCGUAAAGUUCUGUCCUAUGGGAAGAUAAUGACAGUACCAUAGAAGAAAGCUCCGGCUAAAUACGUGCCAGCAGCCGCGGUAAUACGUAUGGAGCGAGCGUUGUCCGGAAUUAUUGGGCGUAAAGGGUACGCAGGCGGUUUAAUAAGUCGAAUGUUAAAGAUCGGGGCUCAACCCCGUAAAGCAUUGGAAACUGAUAAACUUGAGUAGUGGAGAGGAAAGUGGAAUUCCUAGUGUAGUGGUGAAAUACGUAGAUAUUAGGAGGAAUACCAGUAGCGAAGGCGACUUUCUGGACACAAACUGACGCUGAGGUACGAAAGCGUGGGGAGCAAACAGG
rnacentral:rRNA from 1 species